rnacentral:rRNA from 1 species
UACAGAGGGGGCAAGCGUUAUUCAGAAUUAUUGGGCGUAAAGGGCGCGUAGGCGGCUUGGCAAGUGGAUGGUGAAAUCCCUCGGCUUAACCGAGGAACUGCCGUCCAAACUGCUUCGCUUGAGACCGGGAGAGGUGAGUGGAAUUCCCAGUGUAGCGGUGAAAUGCGUAGAUAUUGGGAGGAACACCAGUGGCGAAGGCGGCUCACUGGACCGGUACUGACGCUGAUGCGCGAAAGCGUGGGGAGCAAACGGG